rnacentral:rRNA from 1 species
AACGAACGCUGGCGGCAGGCCUAACACAUGCAAGUCGAGCGCGCCCUUCGGGGUGAGCGGCGGACGGGUGAGUAACGCGUGGGAACGUGCCCUUUUCUACGGAAUAGCCUCGGGAAACUGAGAGUAAUACCGUAUACGCCCUUUGGGGGAAAGAUUUAUCGGAAAAGGAUCGGCCCGCGUUGGAUUAGGCAGUUGGUGGGGUAAUGGCCUACCAAGCCGACGAUCCAUAGCUGGUUUGAGAGGAUGAUCAGCCACACUGGGACUGAGACACGGCCCAGACUCCUACGGGAGGCAGCAGUGGGGAAUCUUAGACAAUGGGGGCAACCCUGAUCUAGCCAUGCCGCGUGAGUGAUGAAGGCCUUAGGGUUGUAAAGCUCUUUCAGCUGGGAAGAUAAUGACGGUACCAGCAGAAGAAGCCCCGGCUAACUCCGUG